AAGGUCAGAAGGAGGAGAGAUUAAAAUUUACUUAUCAAAGCUAGCUUGCUUUACUUUCUCCUCCCUCUCUCUUCUCUCUCUCUCUUUCCCUGACUGCCUCCACCCUUUAUAAAGACCCCCUACCCUACAAAAAUUAUUAAUUAUGUCCGAGGACACGCCUCCCAAAGCGUAUACAGAGGAGGAGUACGAGAAGAAUGUGGCGGCCAUUAAA